AUGGCAAUUUACCUGGAGCUGUUGAGCAAGGACGCCAGGGUGCACGCAUCCUGCGACCUCAGGCUGGUCGACGGCGAAGGGUUGAUGUGUUUCGUGCACAAAACAGAGCCGAGGAUGUUCUGCCAAAACAUGGAGAGCAGGUUUGCUCCACCCAUCGGCACUCAUUUCAUAAAAAGGGGCGAGUUCGAAGCAUCGGUGUACCUUCACGAAGACGGCCUCAAGAUCAACUGCGCCAUCACAGUCAUCAAAGAACCUCGGGUCUCUGAAAUAAAACCACCCCCUAGAAUCGAGGUGCCGCCUUCGGACAUCAUAUCGCAUCUCGGCAGGCUGUUAGAAGCAAAGGAGAAGGCAGAUGUCACAUUCAGUGUAGCAGGAGAGACUUUCAUGGCACACAAGACCAUCCUCGCCAUGCGGUCGCCUGUGUUUGAAGCGGAGCUCUAUGGGCCGAUGAGGGAGACGAGGGCACAGCUCGUAACCAUCGAAGAGAUGCAGCCUGAUGUCUUCAAGGCACUCCUCUAUUUCAUCUAUAAUGAUGCAUUGCCAGCUGCUUUUGAUGAUCUUGAUUGGGAAGGUCAUAUUGAAAUGGCUCGGCACUUGCUCGUGGCCGCGGAUCGAUAUGCCAUGGAGAGGCUAAAGCUGUUAUGUCAAAGCCUCCUUUGCGAGGAUAUUAACGUGCAGACCGUGGCAACCACGUUGGGCUUGGCUGAUCAACAUCACUGCGACGGGCUUAAGGAUGCUUGCAUUGAAUUUAUGUCCACUUCAUAG
rnacentral:rRNA from 1 species